AGGCCUUGACAUGCAGAGAACUUUCCAGAGAUGGAUUGGUGCCUUCGGGAACUCUGACACAGGUGCUGCAUGGCUGUCGUCAGCUCGUGUCGUGAGAUGUUGGGUUAAGUCCGUAACGAGCGCAACCCUUGUUCCUUAGUUACCAGCACGUUAUGGUGGGCACUCUAAAGGGACUGCCGGUGUUAAACCGGAGGAAGGUGGGGAUGACGUCAAGUCCUCAUGGCCUUUAUGACCAGGGCUACACACGUACUACAAUGGCCGAUACAAAGGGCAGCGACACUGCGAGGUGAAGCCAAUCCCGUAAAAUCGGUCUCAGUCCGGAUUGGAGUCUGCAACUCGACUCCAUGAAGUUGGAAUCGCUAGUAAUCGUGGAUCAGCAUGCCACGGUGAAUACGUUCCCGGGCCUU
rnacentral:rRNA from 1 species